rnacentral:rRNA from 1 species
AUUGAGAGUUUGAUCCUGGCUCAGGACGAACGCUGGCGGCGUGCUUAACACAUGCAAGUCGAGCGAUGAAGCUCCUUCGGGAGUGGAUUAGCGGCGGACGGGUGAGUAACACGUGGGUAACCUGCCUCAUAGAGGGGAAUAGCCUUUCGAAAGGAAGAUUAAUACCGCAUAAGAUUGUAGUACCGCAUGGUACAGCAAUUAAAGGAGCAAUUC